rnacentral:rRNA from 1 species
UCUGGUAAUGAUGGUAGAGAGGUCACACCCGUUCCCAUACCGAACACGGAAGUUAAGCUCUCUAGCGCCGAUGGUAGUUGGGACCUUGUCCCUGUGAGAGUAGGACGUUGCCAGGC